rnacentral:rRNA from 1 species
CCAAUAGCGUAUAUUAAAGUUGUUGCAGUUAAAAAGCUCGUAGUUGAAUUUCGGGGUCAGCAGGUUGGUCGUGCCACUGGUAUGCACUGGCUUCGCUGAUUCCUCCCUCUUGUAGAACCGUAAUGCCAUUAAGUUGGUGUUGCGGGGAAACAGGACUGUUACUUUGAAAAAAUUAGAGUGUUUAAAGCAGGCUAACGCUUGAAUACAUUAGCAUGGAAUAAUGAAAUAGGACGAUCGAUCCUAUUUUGUUGGUUUCUAGGAUUGACGUAAUGAUUAAUAGGGAUAGUUGGGGGCAUUAGUAUUCAAUUGUCAGAGGUGAAAUUCUUGGAUUUAUUGAAGACUGACUACUGCGAAAGCAUUUGCCAAGGAUGUUUUCAUUAAUCAAGAACGAAAGUUAGGGGAUCGAAGACGAUCAGAUACCGUCGUAGUCUUAACCAUAAACUAUGCCGACUAGGGAUCGGAUGAUGUUAAUUUUUUAAUGACUCAUUCGGCGCCUUACG